CUCGUUACUGAUUGAACACACCCAUAACAAUCAACAUUCUUCAAACAAUAUUUGCUUGAACUUACCCAUUUCAACAGGUUUACACGUAGCGAGUUUCGCAAACGCUUGCUGUCCAGUUGUUUCUUCGGUCGUGUGGAAAACAUUGUAGAUUACGUUAGUUUUCUUUUUGCAAAUUCGUUGGAAACCAGAGCAGGAAAGCGACAAACAACUGCAAUGCGAUGUCUUUUAUACGAUUUGUUAUUCAAUAUACACAUAUA